rnacentral:lncRNA from 1 species
CUGUGUUUUCCACAAAAGAAUACCCGAAAGAGGGGGGAAAACCAGUCCAAAGGCUAAUCACAAGAUUGCAGUAAUCAUUAAACAAGGUUGCAGUAAUCAUAUAUGUUUUUUUAAUUAAGAGUAAUCAUAUAUGUUUAAAACAUAAAAGCAAAUAAUAUUUUUGCAAGUACCAUCUCAAACUUAUUCCCGCAUUUGAUAAAUAAUUUAGCCUAUCAAAGGGAAGUACAAUGCCAGAGUUACUGAACUUAACGAUUCACCAACACGCAAAGGUUUUGACCUAACCUGUAUUUUGGUCUGGCAGCAGAUCCUUGAUAGGACAGGUUGACAGUUGGUUGAGCAUCUUUAGUGUCAACAGCAACAUUGUUCAAAGACUUUACCUGUAUUUUGGUCUGGCAGCAGAUCCUUGAUAGGACAGGUUGACAGUUGGUUGAGCAUCUUUAGGCGCAACAGCAACAUUGCCCAAAGACUCAGAUGCAGGGGGAGCUACGACAUUUCCCGAGGUUUUAUCCACCGACUGAUUAGGUAGUUCUCCAGCUUCCUCUGAA